GGGUUUGCUCAGUGGCAGUAUCAUAGCCUGUGAAGAUCUGCUAAGGCGUGAUUAUUGCUAAUUGAAAACUUUACCCAAUUUCCUUUGCUUGGGCAAAGAAAGGUGAAUGUUUUUCUAACCAAUGCUUUG